rnacentral:lncRNA from 1 species
AGAAAACUGUCCAGGUCUCGUUAUUCAUUCAUCAGUAUGACUACCGGAAUCACUCGAUACACAGUUCUGUCACCUUCUGCUCGAGAUCACUUCGCAGUAGCCGUGGCUGGAGGCGAGCUUACUCACAUAUUCACGUCUGUACGUCCGCUAUAUGUUCUUCGUAUUGUGCAAGGAGGAGAAGGGAGGGGGAUGAGAAUAUAACAGGAGAUCGAUCGAUCCAAGAGGCAGAGAAGCCGAGGGGACGCCGUGAUCGUCGACGCUCCAUCACUAGGCCUCCUCCUCCGCUUCCUCCUCGUCGAGACCGCUGAGCGGAUAGCAAGUGUCCUCACCGCCG